GUGUCAGCAGCCGCGGUAAGACGGAGGGGGCGAGCGUUGUUCGGAAUUAUUGGGCGUAAAGGGCGCGUAGGCGGACCUGUAUGUCUGGCGUGAAAUCUCCACCGCUCAACGGGGAGAGGCCGCUGGAAACUGCAGGUCUGGAGUUUGUCAGAGGACCAUGGAAUUCCAGGUGUAGCGGUGGAAUGCGUAGAUAUCUGGAAGAACACCGGUGGCGAAGGCGGUGGUCUGGGGCAAAACUGACGCUGAGGCGCGAAAGCCAGGGGAGCAAACGGGAUUAGAAACCCGUGUAGUCC
rnacentral:rRNA from 1 species